UACAGAGGUCUCAAGCGUUGUUCGGAUUCAUUGGGCGUAAAGGGUGCGUAGGCGGCGAAGCAAGUCAGGUGUGAAAUCCCGGGGCUCAACCCCGGAACUGCACUUGAUACUGCUUUGCUCGAGGACUGGAGAGGAGAUCGGAAUUCACGGUGUAGCAGUGAAAUGCGUAGAUAUCGUGAGGAAGGCCAGUGGCGAAGGCGGAUCUCUGGACAGUUCCUGACGCUGAGGCACGAAGGCCAGGGGAGCAAACGGG
rnacentral:rRNA from 1 species